rnacentral:rRNA from 1 species
UACCAAGGCAAUAAUGGAUAGCUGGUCUGAGAGGAUGAUCAGCCACAUUGGGACUGAGAUACGGCCCAGACUCCUACGGGAGGCAGCAGUGGGGAAUAUUGGACAAUGGACGAAAGUCCGAUCCAGCGACACCGCGUGGGGGAUGAAGGCUUUCGGGUUGUAAACCCCUUUUCUGGGGGAAGAAUAAGGUUGGGAGGAAAUGCCCAUCCGAUGACGGUACUCCAGGAAUAAGCAUCGGCAAACUUCGUGCCAGCAGCCGCGGUAAGACGAGGGAUGCAAGCGUUAUCCGGAAUUACUGGGCGUAAAGGACGUCUAGGCGGUUGGAUAAGUCAUUUGUGAAAUCCCAGGGCUUAACCCUGGAAGGUCUUGUGAUACUGUCCGGCUUGGGUGUAGGAGAGGAGAGCGGAACUCACAGAGUAGCGGUGGAAUGCGUAGAUACUGUGAGGUACCCCGAUGGCGAAGGCAGCUCUCUGGCCUAUUACCGACGCUGAAGCGUGAAAGCGUGGGGAGCAAAGGGGAUUAGAUACCCCCGUAGUCCACGCCCCAAACGAUGUUCACUUGGUGUCGGGAGCCUAUAUAUCUCGGUGCCGGAGCUAACGCGUUAAGUGAACCGCCUGAGGAGUACGGCCGCAAGGCUAAAACUCAAGAGAAUUGACGGGUCCCCGCACAAGCGGUGGAGCACGUGGUUUAAUUCGAUAAGCGAAGAACCUCACCUGGGCUUGACAUACUAGUGGUAGGAACCUGAAAGGGUGACGACCUUACCUUCGGGUAAGGAGCUAGUACAGGUGAUGCAUGGCUGUCGUCAGCUCGUGUCGUGGGAUGUAGGGUUAAGUCCGAAACGAGCGCAACCCUUGUCACUAGUUGCCAUCGGAUAAUGCCGGGGACUCUAGUGAGACUGCUGGUGAAUAGCCGGAGGAAGGCGGGGAUGACGUCAAGUCAUCAUGUCCCUUAUGCCCAGGGCGACACACAUGCUACAAUGGGAGGUACAAAGGGUUGCAAUACGGCAACGUGGAGCCAAUCUCAAAAACCUCCCCCAGUUCGGAUUGUGGUCUGCAACUCGACCACAUGAAGCCGGAAUCGCUAGUAAUCGUAGGUCAGCCAUACUACGGUGAAUAUGUACUCGGGGAUUGUACACACCGCCCGUCACACCAACCGAGUGGGGGGUACCUGAAGUCGCUCUUUUGAGAGCGCCUAAGGUAACCUUCGCAAGAGGGGUGAAGUCGUAACAAGGUA